rnacentral:miRNA from 1 species
AUCUAAAGGUGAUUAUUGUGCC